rnacentral:rRNA from 1 species
CCAGCUUAUCCUGCUGGCGGCUGCGGCUAUCUGGUUUGCAAUUAGACAUGCAAGUCUUUCGAAAGAAGGCAAACUGCUCAGUAACACGUAGCUAACCUGCCUUUAGGUCAAGGAUAAUCUCGGGAAACUGAGGCUAACACUUGAUAGGAGAUAAUUUCUGGAAAGAUUUAUCUCUGAAACUCGGGCCUAAAGAUGGGGCUGCGGUGGAUUAGGUUGUUGGCGGGGUAAUAGCCCACCAAGCCAUAGAUCCAUAAGGGCUCUUAGCGGAGAAGCCCUGAGAAGGAAUCUGAGACACUAUUCCUAGCCCUACGGGGUGCAGCAGUCGGGUAUCUUUUGCAAUGCACGAAAGUGUGACAGAGCGAACCAGAGUGUUUUUCAAAUUUGAAAAACUUUUGCCAGCUGUAAAAAGGCUGGCGAAUAAGGACUGGGCAAGACUGGUGCCAGCCGCCGCGGUAAUCCCAGCGGUCCAAGUCGCAGCCACAAUUAUUGGGUCUAAAACAUCCGUAGCUUGCUCCAUAAGUUUCUUGUGAAAUCCUGCCUCUCAAAGGCAGGGCGUGCAAGAAAUACUGUGUUGCUAGAGACCGGAGGAUGUGAAGAGUACUGUUAAGGUAGCGGUAAAAUGCGUUGAUCUUAACCGGACUAACAACAGCGAAGGCACUUCACAAAUACGGUUCUGACAGUGAGGGAUGAAGGCUAGGGGCGCAAAACGGAUUAGAUACCCGUGUAGUCCUAGCAGUAAACACUGCACACUAAACAUCGGGCUCUCCUCGGGAGAUUUCGGUGCUGUAAGGAAGCUGAAGAGUGUGCUACCUGGGAAGUAUAGUCGCAAGGCCGAAACUUAAAGGAAUUGGCGGGGGAGCACUACAACGGGUGACGCGUGCGGUUCAAUUAGAUUCCACACCGUGAACCUCACCAGGACCGACAGCAGAAUGAAGGUCAGUCUGAAGGGCUUACCUGACACGCUGAGAGGAGAUGCAUGGCCGACGUCAGCCUGUGUCGUGAGAUGACCUGUUAAAUCAGGUAACAGGCGAGACCCGCGUGCAUAGUUGCUACCUUAAGAAGGGGCACUCUAUGCAGACUGCUUUCGUAAGAAAGAGGAGGGUGCGGGCUACGUUAGGUGAGUAUGUCCCAAAUGCCCUGGGCGACACGCGCGCGGCAAUAUUAUAUUCAAAGGGAUGCAACUCUGAAAAGAGAAGCUAAUCUCAUAAUAUAUAGUUUAGUUCAGAUUGAGGUUUGCAACUCAGCCUCAUGACGCUGGAAUCCGUAGUAAUCGUUUGUUAGCAGCGAACGGUGAAUAUGUCCCUGCUCCUUGCACACACCGCCCGUCAAACCAACCGAGUUUUGCAUUGAUGAGGCUUUUUUAAGUCGAGCCUUUGUAAGACAAGGUAGGUUAAGUCGUCACAAGGUC